GAACUCUUUCCUGCAUCCCAAGAGUGUGUGCAGACCAUAACGAGGGGCUCAGGAUGCCCUGGGCGAAGCAGGUCGAGUGAGAACGAGCCAGGUUGAAGAACCGUGCAGCUCCUGUUACACUUCAGAGAACGGAUCCAGAGGGGAAGAUUCCUGGCCCACAUUCCCGCCUCCUACCCCCAGGCGGGAGACUUGGAACAGUCCCAAGGGUCCUGGCUCCCAGCCAGGAGCUCCAAGAUGAGUUGACUGGUUCCUAGACUUCAGAAAAUCUCAUCUGGUCCUAUUCUCUGAGCUCUACAAAUUCCUCACCUCUGACUUCUGGUUUCUUAGCUGCUGAGGCCUGCUUCCUACCUUUCUGCCUGGUCUGCUCCAGCUUCUGACUUGGGCAUAAUGACAGCAUCUCAAUGUCCUAUAUGACCUUUGGGAUCUGAUAGGACGCAGCAAAAGAGCACUAGAUCAUUGGAGAGAGAAAGUGAGCUCCGCUCAUCCGAGACCCCUUGGACUGGCCUUACUCCUUGGGGGUUUUUUAUAGUGUCUUAGUCUACUUUCUGUUCUAUCCCAUGAGUAUUAUCACAUGAGGAUGCCCCCUCAUCCUCAUUACAGCUGGUACAUGGAAUCACAUAGCAAAAGUUCAUGCGCUACAAAGAAGGAAGGGAAGGGAAAGACUGAGAUGGGUCCAAGGCUUUCUAACUACCCAUUCUUCCAACACUGAGUCCAGUCCUGAGAGCCCUAAUUCUCCCAGUAGAAGGGCUCCAAUCUUUUGAGGAGAGGUCCCUCAAUGAUUUAAUUUUCUCCCACUAUUUCCACCCUUUAAAGGAUCCACCAUCUUUCAAUACUGUUAUAUUAGGAAAAGAACUUCUGGCACAUGAUUCUUUAGGGGACAAACUAUAUCCAAGCUAGAGUGGAUGGAACAUUCAAAUCAGAAGUAAUUCUCUGCUGAACUUUCACACAGAUCUGCUUAAUAAACAGCCAGGUGCAUCCACCCCCUUGGUGACCUGAAGCAUAGCUCCUGUGAGUGUCUCCUGGAAGCAGCUGUCUGUGCACGAGCACGUAGUAGACAAGGUUACAGGAUCCUAUGCUACGUGGAUUGGUGAUGCUGGCUUGCCCAUGGUAUCUGUUAGUUUUCUCUUAGCUGAGACAAAAUACCUGAAGAAACAGCUGAAGGAAGGUUUGUGUGCACAGUCCACCAUGACAGGGAAGGCAUGACUACAGAAAUAUGGGGGAGCUGGUUAAACUUCUCAGGAAGUGGAGAAUGAUGGAUGCUGGUGCUCAGCUUGCUUUCUUGUUCAUCCAAUCCAGUACCACAGGUCAUGGGAUGGUACCACUCUCUCAGUGCACAUCUUCUCUUUUCCGUCAACUAUUUCUGGAAAGAUCCUCAGAGACGGUCCCAGAAGUAUGUCUUUUAUUUAAUUCUAAAUAUAGUCAAGCUGACAAUAGAGAUUAACCAUCACACCCAUGAAGGAGACUUUUGCACGUAGGAGAUAUGUGGCUGGGAACAGCAUCAAAGACAACACUUACCAUCCUGAACCAUGCCUAUAAGCUUCUUUAUCUGAUUAUAUAUGGCAAUGAUCCUAGCUUAGAGUUGCAAAGGUGUCAGAUUGCAGAAGAUGAGCAAGCUGUGUUGGCCUAAGGAGUUAUGCCUUCUUCACUGUCUAGCAGAUCUGAGAUUGGUCAGCAUAGGCCUUUCUGCCUCUCCUGCCAACAGAAGGCAGAAAGCAUCUGCUGUGGCUCUUGGCAUUUGAUAGACUAGCUUGGAGCUACCCUUCUGGCCUCAGCAACCUGCACAGUGUAGGACCCUCCACCAGCACAGGAGCUGGGAACCUCAUCUACUGAUUGUUCUGAGAACCUCUGAGAGCAGGAGCAUGGUGAAGAAAGCUCCAUGCACGACCAUGAAGGCGGAGGAUUACCAGACCCCCAAGGCCAGCCUGAAUGAGAUAAUAAAUUUCAGGGCAUCCUGGGCUGUAGCGAGAAGCCAUAUAUCAUUCCUCCCUCCAAAAGAAAAACCUCAAGUAUAUUAAGUAAGUAAGUAAGUAAACAAACAAACAAACAAACAAAUAAGUAUAUCAUUUUUGCUAGUUUUCAGACUGUAAUUUCUACUCAGACAAGGUUUACCUAUGUAUUAUCCCCACCCCUAGUACCUGAAGCAAGCAGGCCUCCUAUGAGCAGCUGCCUAUGAGUUGUCCUAAAGCUGACUCAGCAAGGGGAUUUUUUGAACCUCUUCCUUGAUGGCCCAAGGUACAGACUCUUUUCAUAGAUGUUAAAUGGGAUGUGAGUUAUGAGUAUCAGAUGGCAGCACCUGAGACCUCUUGCUGCAAGCCUUCCUAAGGAGAGUUGAUUGUUUUUCUAUUUCAGAAAUUAGGACUGUAAGCAGAUGCAUCCCUUCUUAGCUUAUGAGCUCACCUUAAUUAAAGACAGUCAGGAGGGAAAGAAUGGUUAUCCACUAAAAUUCCCUUAACUGAGUAAUACUGCUUUUAUUUAUUUUAACUGAACCCCCCUCAUACAAUAUAUUUUACCAUGCUUUUUUCCUUUCCCUAAUUUCCACUCAGAUUUUCCCCUACCUCCCUACUCACUCAAUUUUAUUUUUUUAAUUUAAAUUCUUUGUCGUUUAUUGUGCGGAUUAUAAUUACCUCCCCUUUCCUUCCUCUAAGUCCUCCCAUAUACCCAUCCUUGUUCUCUUUCAAACUCAUGACCUCUGUUUUCAUUAAUUGGUGUUAUAGGCAAUAUAUAUAAGCAUAUACAUGCAUGUUCCUAUAUAUAACCUGCUCAGUCUCCAUACUGUUAUGUGUAAUACUUUCUAUUUAUUCAUAGACACUAAUUAUUUAAAAGAAAUGAAGAAUCACAUAUCCAAGGUUCUUUCUUUCCUACAAUACUAGGAUGGAUUUAACCUGUGGUUUCUUGUCUUCUAGGUGUAUACUCUUGAAGACAAGGAAGCCAGUUGAAGGGUUUGGGAAGAUAGUUCAAAGAGUAAAUUACCUGCUGUGAAACAAGAGGACCUCAGUUCAAAUCCCCAGCUCCCACAUAAAAUCUGGGUGUGGUGGUGUGCAUUUGUAACCCUAGCAUGGGGGUGGGGGGUGGAUUGUGAAGGGAUGGAGGCAAUUAGUUCUCCUGAAGUCUCUGGCCAGUCUACCCAAUCAAUAAGCACCUAUUUCAUUGAGAGAGCUGGCCUCAAAAGAUAAGAUUGGGGAGUAGGAGAGAUGGCUCAGUGGUUAAGAGCACUACUGCUCUUUCAGAAGCCUUUGGUUUAAUGGCCAGUACCCACAUAGUGACUCAUGAGUGUCUAACUCCAGUUCCAGGGGGUCUGACACCCUCUUCUGGUCCCUACAGGCACUGGGAAAGCAGAGUGCACACAAGCAAAAAACUCCUACAUGUAAAACAAAAUAAACAUUGAUAUUUGUGUAUU
ensembl:antisense Gm44284 predicted gene, 44284